GAACGCUGGCGGCGUGCUUAACACAUGCAAGUCGAACGGAAAGGCCCUGCUUUUGUGGGGUGCUCGAGUGGCGAACGGGUGAGUAACACGUGAGUAACCUGCCCUUGACUUUGGGAUAACUUCAGGAAACUGGGGCUAAUACCGGAUAGGAGCUCCUGCUGCAUGGUGGGGGUUGGAAAGUUUCGGCGGUUGGGGAUGGACUCGCGGCUUAUCAGCUUGUUGGUGGGGUAGUGGCUUACCAAGGCUUUGACGGGUAGCCGGCCUGAGAGGGUGACCGGCCACAUUGGGACUGAGAUACGGCCCAGACUCCUACGGGAGGCAGCAGUGGGGAAUAUUGCACAAUGGGCGGAAGCCUGAUGCAGCAACGUCGCGUGCGGGAUGACGGCCUUCGGGUUGUAAACCGCUUUCGCCUGUGACGAAGCGUGAGUGACGGUAAUGGGUAAAGAAGCACCGGCUAACUACGUGCCAGCAGCCGCGGUGAUACGUAGGGUGCGAGCGUUGUCCGGAUUUAUUGGGCGUAAAGGGCUCGUAGGUGGUUGAUCGCGUCGGAAGUGUAAUCUUGGGGCUUAACCCUGAGCGUGCUUUCGAUACGGGUUGACUUGAGGAAGGUAGGGGAGAAUGGAAUUCCUGGUGGAGCGGUGGAAUGCGCAGAUAUCAGGAGGAACACCAGUGGCGAAGGCGGUUCUCUGGGCCUUUCCUGACGCUGAGGAGCGAAAGCGUGGGGAGCGAACAGGCUUAGAUACCCUGGUAGUCCACGCUGUAAACGGUGGGUACUAGGUGUGGGGUCCAUUCCACGGGUUCCGUGCCGUAGCUAACGCUUUAAGUACCCCGCCUGGGGAGUACGGCCGCAAGGCUAAAACUCAAAGGAAUUGACGGGGCCCCGCACAAGCGGCGGAGCAUGCGGAUUAAUUCGAUGCAACGCGUAGAACCUUACCUGGGUUUGACAUGGAUCGGGAGUGCUCAGAGAUGGGUGUGCCUCUUUUGGGGUCGGUUCACAGGUGGUGCAUGGCUGUCGUCAGCUCGUGUCGUGAGAUGUUGGGUUAAGUCCCGCAACGAGCGCAACCCUUGUUCACUGUUGCCAGCACGUUAUGGUGGGGACUCAGUGGAGACCGCCGGGGUCAACUCGGAGGAAGGUGGGGAUGACGUCAAGUCAUCAUGCCCCUUAUGUCCAGGGCUUCACGCAUGCUACAAUGGCUGGUACAGAGAGUGGCGAGCCUGUGAGGGUGAGCGAAUCUCGGAAAGCCGGUCUCAGUUCGGAUUGGGGUCUGCAACUCGACCUCAUGAAGUCGGAGUCGCUAGUAAUCGCAGAUCAGCAACGCUGCGGUGAAUACGUUCCCGGGGCUUGUACACACCGCCCGUCAAGUCAUGAAAGUUGGUAACACCCGAAGCCGGUGGCCUAACCGUUGUGGGGGAGCCGUCGAAGGUGGGACUGGUGAUUAGG
rnacentral:rRNA from 1 species